CCUCGCGUGGCUCUGCGCAUGCGUAUCUGUACAUAGUGCUGAGGGAGGGAGAAACGGAGUCUGCGCAGCGGGUAAAGACGGAAAGGGACGGAAAUUGCCGAAGGCAGAGCAGGGAAAGUUUCAGAGGGCGCCAGGUUGCGCGGACCUAGACAAGUAUUGAAUAGGAUUAUUGCUUCUUAUGGAGGGAGAUGUUGACUUUCCCCACUCCAAUAAGGCUUCGUCGGUGCUUCCCUCAUCCGCUCACACAUUAUACUGUAUAUUUGUAAAACUAUGAUUCCUCUUUAAAUGUUAUGACUCCGCCCCAAAGUGUCCUGGGAUUUGUAGUUUAGAGGCGCUGGAGCACUCUGGCUGAGCAUUCAAAAUGUCCCGCCCUAAACUAACAUUCCCAGGAUUCCAUUCGAUGGAGCCAUCGUAAUUAAAGGAGAAGCAAAGCGCUGUAUUUGUGCAGUGUGACAAAGGCCUUGACUUAACCCAAUGAAAAGAACUACAUUGUGACUCCAUACAGAUAUAGAUACAGCCAGGAAAUCAGAAGACGUCUACUUCUUGGGAGGAGAGCAAUGGCCAACCUCGAUAAAAUAGUGAAAAGCUGAGACAUCACACUGGCAAUGAAGGUCCGCAUAGUUAAAGCAAUGGUAUUCCCUGUAGUAACCUAUGGAUGCGAGAGCUGGACCAUAAGGAAGGCUGAGCGAAGGAAGAUAGAUGCUUUUGAACUGUGGUGCUGGAGGAAAAUCCUGAGAGUGCCUUGGACCACAAGAAGAUCCAACCAGUCCAUCCUCCAGGAAAUAAUGCCCAGCUGCUCACUGGAGGGAAGGAUAUUAGAGGCAAAGAUGAAGUAUUUUGGCCACAUCAUGAGGAGACAGGAAAGCUUGGAAAAGAUAAUGAUGCUGGGGAAAACGGAAGGAAAAAGGAAGAGAGGCCGACUAAGGACGAAAUGGAUGGAUGGUAUCCUUGAAGUGACUGGCUUGGCCUUGAAGGAACUGGGGGCGACGACAGCCGACAGGGAACUCUGGCGUGGACUGCUCCAUUAGGUCACAAAGAGUCGGAAAUGACUGAGUGAAGAAGAAACAGAUAUCACACAUUAUAUUCAUUUUGGGGUUUGAAAGACAGCCCUGCAGUGUACAAAGUCUCAUUUGGAAGCAUGGUUUUAGACUCGUCAUCUGUCAUCAUUCAGACUAAAGAAAGCAGAAAAAUCACUUGUGUUUGGUUUAUACAUAGGAUACAUAGGCCAAAAUGACAUCCCUCAGACACCUUUCUAUUCAUUGAGACAGUUCAAUUACAAUGCACCAAGACUCCCUGCAUAAAACAGUCUUUAAGAGAAGAUAGAACAAUGUGCUACAUUCGCAGAUAUGCCCAAAUUUCACAAUACAAGUUCAUUAGCAAUGACUUGCUUUGUUCUGGUCUGUUAGCUUUCACUUUCGAGCUAAUACAACUCAAAUUUUGCUAAUAGGUUUUUUUUUUAAGGUUUGAAAAAAAUUGGUACCUUUUCUUCUGCAACUAAUUUGCAGUGACCUAAUAGGAAGUUUCUAUAGUUGUGUAUACUGUGCUGGAUACAAAUGUAUUGUGCUAUUAAGCACAUGUGAAUAGGCAUCUUUUCCUGCAGCCGUCCAUGGAAAUCCAGCUUUCCAUAGAAAGUGAUGGCUCGGCUUACUUCCAGUGAACAUCGGGCAGCUAUAGUUCCCCCAAGCCUUGACAACAUAACCUCCAAGGCUUUUUGGUAAAUAAUUUUCCUCUCAUGUAUUUCUUGCAUUUCAUUCCUUGUUCUUUUAUUCCAUCCAGGUGAUGUAACAUGUACCAUUUCAACUAUUUUUGUGGCUAGUUCUUCCACAAGAUACUACUAUACAUUCAUAUUUACAUGUUAGCUUAUGUAUACUGUACAGAUAAUUUCUUUCCCUUAACCCUUUUCUGAAUGGCCAUGAUUCUGCAUGAAAUAAAGAAAGUUAUCUUGGAUCUUUUCAUGAUAUUGUGAAUCCCAGGAGGGUUCUUCUUAGAAACGAUUUUUAAAUGAGUCUGUAGGUUCUGCUCUGAAUCACUAAAAAAAAAAUAGGAAAUAGAUUAUAUCCCUGCUCAGAGCAACAUUAAUGUUCAACAGAAUAACCGCAGAACUACAAUCACUGCUGUUAUACCAUUCAUAAAUACGUAUGCAUCACAGAUGUAGAAGAUCUAGGUUCUCCGUGACAUUGAAAAAUAACUUUGAGCCGUUAUCUCAGCACGACCUAGCUCAUAAGUCUGUUGGGAGGAAUAAAGCCAUAUACACUUCCUAGAAUGUAUUGGAGGAAAAGUAUGGUAGACUAUAAACAUAACAAAUUAAAUAACUGGAAACCUCACUUUGUUAUCUUUACUAGAUUUUGUGGUUCAUUUGUGGCUGCCACAUUUAAGUGCAGUAAACAGCUACUACAGCUUAGUUAGAAUUCCAAAAUUCAAAUUAAUUGAAAAUCUGAAAUUGUUCAAAUGGGUGGCUAAGAUUGUGUCACCUUUGCUUCCUGAUAGUUAAAUAUACCCAAUCUUUGUUUCAUGCACAAAAUUAUUAAAAAUACACAUUACCUUCAGGCUAUGUUUAUAAGGUGUAAAUGAGACAUCAAUUUCACAUCUAGACUUGGGUCCCAUCUCCAAGAUAUGAUUAUAUAAAUAUAUGCAAAUAGGAGUAUCCUUAAAAAAAUUAAAAACCAAAACACUUCUGGUCCCAAGCAUUUUUGAUAACUUAUAUUAAGAGUUCAACAAGCUGUAUGCUCUGGCUAAUAGAGGCUAAGGCCAAUGCCAUGUUAUUUUGAUCAAGGAGAUCUCGUUUAUAAUUUUUAUUUAUAGUUAUGUUUGGGCAUGCCCAAUAGUUCAUACAAAUUCACAGUAGAUUUUCAAAGUCCAAAGAUGGUAGAGUUUCAUAAAAGUUAAAGUUAGAAUGCAUUGAUGACAACCAGAAAGAAAAUCAGGCAGCAAGAGAAAUAUCAUCUUUAUUAUGACUUAACGGUUCUGGCCCAGCUUACUUGUCUGAAUGUGUCUCCCGCUAUGACCCACCAUAUAAUUUAAGAUCCUCAGGGGAAGGCCCUGCUCUCGGUCUCGCCAGUCUCAUAGGUGUGGCUGGUGGGGACGAGAGACAGGGCCUUUUCAGUAGCGCCCCCCCCCCCCCCCUAUGGAACACCCUCCCAAGUGAAGUCAGGCAGGCUUUCUCCUUUCCUUCCAAAAAAGAGUUAAGACUUGGCUGUGGGCCCAGGCUUUUGAACAAUAAUGGCAGCACCAUCUGUAACAUAUGCUUCAGGAUAUAAUUGACAAGACUCAGUUCAUACUUGAAAUGCACAUAAAUGUAUAUUUAUAUGUGUUUUAUGAAUGUUUUAAAUGUAAUUUAAUUUUAAACUGAAUUUGAAUGUUACUAUGAUUGUUAUAUAUGUGUUUUAUACUGUAAGCCGCCCUGAGUCCCCUGUUGGGCGAGAAGGGUGGGGUAGAAAUAGUGUAAUAAAUAAAUGUACUGUGUGGUAAGAGGGCCUAAAUACUCUAAAUAUUUAGCUAAGUAUUGUUUGCAGGUGUAUAAGCACUCUAUAGGUCCCAGAUUCUGUUUAAUCAGCCCUGGUUAAUACUUAGAUGGGGGGCCCUCAAGGAAUAUCUGGUGCUAUAGGCUUUCUUUCAGAGGAAGAAAAUGAUAAAAUUAUCACUAAGGAUUUCUUGCCUAAGAUGCCCCAAUGAAAUUUCUGUAAGUUUACCAAGACUUGAAGGUACAUAUUCAAACACAUUGAGGUAUUAAAUUCACUCUUUUGGUUUCUUCAAUUCUCUCCUCAGAAUACACCAAUCUUACUGGUGUCACAUCAAUAACAUUACCUGACAUAGCAAUUCCUGUAAUUAGUUUUAGUAAAAGCACACAUUUCAACUGUUUUUAUAAACAUGCUAUAUGUACAUAAGUAUGUGUACAUUUGUUCUAGCAUUAAGACAGUAAUUUUUAAGCAGGGUUGUUCUUCUUGUUCUGUUAGCUAUUAUCCACAGGUAAAUGCAUUGUGUUCACUUAUUUUCUUUGAUGUUCUUCAAAAUACCGUACAACUUAUAAGAGCACUGGAAAGACCAGAUUGCUAAGCUCCAUUGCAGGACAAGUUAUUUGUCACUAUAUACUGUAUUCCAAAAUCCUCUGUUCUCCGUUUCCAUUACUUACAAUUGAUAAUGCAACAAGUAAUAGGAAGAACACACAAAUGACCAUGAACUUUAGCAAGGUGCUCUCAACCAAAAGUAAAGAAGAUCCUGGUCUGGAUGUUUGGAGACAGAUGAGCAGAAUUACUACAGGCAUAUGGUAGGACAAAAUAAAUUCUAACCAAAGUGCCAAAUCACAGGAAAGUUCUGUGAACAGUUCAAGAUGUCAAUCUUUCAGGGCUUAGAAUCAUGGAGUUGGAAGAAACCACAAGGAACAUCCAAGCCCAUCCCCAUCAUGAAGGAAAAUACAAUCAAAACACUCCCAACAGAUAGCCAUCCAGUCUUUGCAUAAAAGCCUCCAGAGAAGGAGACUCCCCCAUGUUCCAAGGCAGCAUAUUCCACUGCCAAACAGCUCUUACUGUCAGGAAGUUCUUCCUAUUGUUUAGACGGUAUCUUUUUCUGCAAUUUAAAUGCAUUGCUCUGCAUCCUUGUCUCUAGAGAAGCAGCCUAAGUCUCUAGAAAUUGCAUAUCCGACACAUGCUUUCAACAAGCUAUUGCCAUCAUGCAAGUGUUGACUUACAAAUUGCCCUUCCCUGACAUCUGACUCUUUAUGGUGAAUUAUGAAUAUGAUCUUUAUCCUGCUGUACUGUUUAAUCCCUGAUCCUGUAUCAAUUUCUGAGCCUAGAAAAGAGCACUGUUAUGUAGUACCUGGAAAGGGAAAUGGGAAUAAAACAGGCAAGCAGAGCCUGCGAUUGCAAACUUUGGAGUUCCUAGUGCUGAGUCUCCACAAUCAAGUAUUAGGAAAAUCAUAAUGAUUAAUGUGAUUAACAGCAUGACUUAUUAAGGAAAGAUUUACAAUGCUAUUUUAUAAAUAGCUUUUUUAGAAGCAAGCCAUGUUGUGCUAAAUCUCAAAUGACAUGCAUACAUCAGGAAUUCCCUUUCCCCUCCUCCUGCAGUUCUCUAGAGGAUCUAUUAUCAGUGUCCCAGAACCUAAAGAUCUUUCAGCAGAUCUUUAGAUCUCAUACUAGCACCUUGCUAAAGCCCGUGGUCAUUUGUGUGUUCUUCCUGUCAUCUGUUCCAUUAUCGGUUUCUCUUAAUGAGAACAAUGUAAAUGGGAAGUUUGAAAUGUGGCAUAUUCCAUAUACAUUACUUGAGGUAUGAGGGAACUUCAAUCGAUCCGUGUUUCUGUUCUACUGUGUGGAAGGACGUUGUUGUAUACAACCCACUGGCUUAAAUGAGACAUAUUCAGGCAAAGUAUACUAGAAUUGCAGGUUUCAUCCAACUGUUAGAAAUUAUGUAAGGACAGUGUUUCAGGGAAGUGAAUUUCUAUGCUUGCCAAGAAUGUACAAAACAAAACCAACCUGCUGAGUCAGUUAUCAAAAGCACCAACAACAUUGUUGUUAUAUGGUGAAAGGUCUAAAUCUCUGGCUUGUUAAAAUGAGAGGGAUGGCAUAUACAUCUCUAUAAAUUCAGGUGUAUUAUUGUGCAGCAAGAAAUCAACACAUGCAAGAAGAGGCUACUAUACUAGAUGUGUUAUAUUCACACUAUUGCCUGCAUCAUACAUAGGCUUUAUUUUUUAAAGACAAUUGAGAUGAUCUGUUUGAGGCAGUGGUUCACAACCUUUGGGCCUCCAGGUGUUUUGGACUUCUGCUCCCACAAUUCCUAACAGCUGGUAAGCUGGCUGGGAUUUCUGGGAGUUGAAGUCCAAAACACCUGGAGACCCAAAGGUUGGGAACCACUGGUAUAAGGAAAUACUUUCAUAAGGGUAUAAGUACAAUCCGCCAGAAUAUAUAUAUUUGUACCAAAUAGCCAGAAAUUGUAACGAGUGCAUUUGCCUAUAGGUGGUUUCCUGGUUUAUUUGUAAGAUGCAAGUGAAAUAUUCAAGUGAAUCAGUAAAUGUUACCUUUGGAAAAGGA